rnacentral:rRNA from 1 species
UACGAAGGGGGCUAGCGUUGCUCGGAAUCACUGGGCUUAAAGCGCACGUAGGCGGGUCUUUAAGUCAGGGGUGAAAUCCUGGAGCUCAACUCCAGAACUGCCUUUGAUACUGGGGAUCUCGAGUCCGGAAGAGGUGAGUGGAACUCCGAGUGUAGAGGUGAAAUUCGUAGAUAUUCGGAAGAACACCAGUGGCGAAGGCGGCUCACUGGUCCGGUACUGACGCUGAGGUGCGAAAGCGUGGGGAGCAAACAGG